CUUACGUUGUAUGUAUGUACAUAUGUAUGUAUACUUCUGCACAUAAAAUAAGUUUGGUAAUUUUUGGUUGAAUUUGGUAUCUAACUUUUUCUGGUGAUUUUGU